rnacentral:rRNA from 1 species
CAGCCGCCACGGGAAUACGUAGGGUGCGAGCGUUGUCCGGAAUUACUGGGCGUAAAGGGCUCGUAGGUGGUUUGUCGCGUCGUCUGUGAAAUUCCGGGGCUUAACUCCUGGCGUGCAGGCGAUACGGGCAUAACUUGAGUACUGUAGGGGUAACUGGAAUUCCUGGUGUAGCGGUGAAAUGCGCAGAUAUCAGGAGGAACACCGAUGGCGAAGGCAGGUUACUGGGCAGUUACUGACGCUGAGGAGCGAAAGCAUGGGUAGCGAACAGGAUUAGAUACCCCUGUAGUCCCUGUCUCUUAUA